rnacentral:lncRNA from 1 species
CUGAAUGGACAAAUGCAGCAACCCCUGAGAAUGCAUCCACUCACAGUACCGCCUUGAUGGGAGUGAUUCGUGCCCCACAGGGUUAUCUCUGUCUGUGGUGGUUCUCAUUCUCCCUGCGCCUAUGAAUGCCUGCAUGGCUGGUGCGUAAUGGAGCAAUGCCUCUUAGGUUAUCUAACUGUUCCCAUAACUGUUCACAAACGAACUGAGCCACCUCAUUGGUCGACGUCUCUGAAAUUGCAUCGUAAAGUCAGAAAGGACUUGCCAGCAGGCUCCCAGGGUUCGGAAUUUCACUUCCUUUGGCAGGACCCUACUUCCCUGGCGAGGAGUAAAUGUAAAUGAGGCUAUGAUCAAGAACCUCCCCUUGACUCUUGAAAACACUGCAGAAUCCACUGCUAGAACAGUAGCUGCCCAACACGAAUCCUUAGACCCUCCCGCCAAAGUUGCUCUUGAUAAUAAGGUGUCCUUGACCAUCUUGUAGCUGAGCAAGGAGGUGUCUGUGCUGUGGCCAACGCCACCUGCUGCACCUGGAUUAGCCCUCCUGGGGAGGUUGAAACUCAGUUACAUAAGAUCACUUAAGAAGGUGACUCCUUCGGCGGGGUCUUUCUUUGACUUGAUUUUGACUGGUUAGGUCUUAGGAACCACAGCUCUGAAGUGCACUGCAGACACGGGGAAUUAUCCUGCUUAAAAUAAUCGUAGUAGUCUCCCUGGUGUGCUGUAUUCUCUCACAAACUUUAAAUGCAUGUUCACAGCUGCUAACCACCAAGCAAAUGAUCUCCCUGAGACUGGAAAGACAGACAAGGAAUGAAGAGAAUGGCUGACUUAAAAAUUGUGAGCCUGACGUUGUGGCCUGUGAACAUUACAGAGACUCGGCAAAAAACGUCAUGAGCUCAAUUGGCCCCACUCUCCAUUCUCAGCUUCUCUGAGUUCCUGCCAAGACAGCAGAAUGGCAACUCAUUCUCUCCAUAGAGGCUCUGAUCAUCUGCUUCUUAGCAAGUCUGGAGAACCGCUUAAGACACAUAAGCCCUGACAGAUGUAUGCGCAUGGGAAGAACGUCCACGAAGAAGGCAGCGGACAGUCAGCUCCAGAAGGGAUGGAGUAGAGAUGUGACCGGAUGGGAAAGACUGGAGAUAGCACUUCCAGGAAGAGAGAGAGAGAGAAAAGAGGAAAGGGUGCUCUUUCAUCCCCUUGGCUAAUA